rnacentral:tRNA from 1 species
AGGGGUAUAGUUCAAUGGCAGAACAGCGGUCUCCAAAACCGUCGAUGAGGGUUCGAGUCCUUCUACCCCUGCCA